rnacentral:rRNA from 1 species
UACGAAGGGGGCUAGCGUUGCUCGGAAUUACUGGGCGUAAAGGGCGCGUAGGCGGACAGUUUAGUCAGAGGUGAAAGCCCAGGGCUCAACCUUGGAAUUGCCUUUGAUACUGGCUGUCUUGAGUACGGGAGAGGUGAGUGGAACUCCGAGUGUACAGGUGAAAUUCGUAGAUAUUCGGAAGAACACCAGUGGCGAAGGCGACUCACUGGCCCGUUACUGACGCUGAGGCGCGAAAGCGUGGGGAGCAAACAGG